CCUACGGGAGGCAGCAGUGGGGCAUCUUGCACAAUGGGGGAAACCCUGAUGCAGCGACGCCGCAUGAGUGAAGAAGUAAUUCGUUACGUCACGCUCUAUCCUCCUUUCCUCCCCCCUUCCCUUCCGUUCCGCCGCCGGUCCCUGCGUCCGCCGCCCCGGCUCCCUCCGUGCCCGCCGCCGCGGUCCUCCGUAGGGGGCAAGCGUUCUCCGGAUUUACUGGUUGUAAAGGUAGCUUCGACGGUGCGCCCCGUCUGUAGUGAAAUGCCGCAGCUUAACUGCGGAACUGCUUUGGAAACUGGCGAACUAGAGUGCGGGAGGGGUAAGCGGAAUUCCUAGUGUAGCGGUGAAAUGCGUAGAUAUUAGGAGGAACACCGGGGGCGAAGGCGGCUUACUGGACCGUAACUGACGUGGAGGCGCGAAAGCGUGGGGAGCAAACAGGAUGAGAGACCCGAGUAGUC
rnacentral:rRNA from 1 species